UCCAGACUCCUACGGGAGGCAGCAGUGAGGAAUAUUGGUCAAUGGGCGGAAGCCUGAACCAGCCAAGUCGCGUGAGGGAAGAAGGCCCUGCGGGUCGCAGACCUCUUUGGACGGGGAGCAAGGCCGCCGACGUGUCGGCGGAAGGAGAGUACCCGUAGAACAAGCAUCGGCUAACUCCGUGCCAGCAGCCGCGGUAAUACGGAGGAUGCGAGCGUUAUCCGGAUUUACUGGGCGUAAAGGGAGCGCAGGCGGCGCGCCAAGUCUGAUGUGAAACCCCGGGGCUCAACCCCGGGCAUGCAUUGGAAACUGGCGGGCUGGAGUGCCGGAGAGGUAAGCGGAAUUCCUAGUGUAGCGGUGAAAUGCGUAGAUAUUAGGAGGAACACCAGUGGCGAAGGCGGCUUACUGGACGGCAACUGACGCUGAGGCUCGAAAGCGUGGGGAGCAAACAGGAUUAGAUACCCCCGUAAAC
rnacentral:rRNA from 1 species